rnacentral:misc_RNA from 1 species
UACGUAGGGGGCAAGCGUUGUCCGGAAUCAUUGGGCGUAAAGAGCGUGUAGGCGGACCGGAAGGUCUGGUGUGAAAGCCCGGGGCUCAACCCCGGAACUGCACUGGAAACCAUCGGUCUUGAGUCCGGAAGAGGGAAGUGGAAUUCCUGGUGUAGCGGUGGAAUGCGCAGAUAUCAGGAGGAACACCAAAGGCGAAGGCAGCUUCCUGGGACGUGACUGACGCUGAGACGCGAAAGCGUGGGGAGCAAACAGG